GACGAACGCUGGCGGUGUGCUUAACACAUGCAAGUCGAACGGAAAGGCACUGAUUUUGUGGGGUGCUCGAUUGGCGAACGGGUGAGUAACACGUGAGUAACCUGCUCUUGAUUUUGGGAUAACAUCAGGAAACUGGGGCUAAUACCGGAUCGGAGAUCCUGCUGCAUGGUGGGGGUUGGAUAGUUUCGGCGGUUGGGGAUGGACUCGCGGGUUAUCAGCUAGUUGGUGGGGUAGUGGCUGACCAAGCCUUUGACGGGUAGCCGGCCUGGGAGCGGGACCGGCCACAAUGGGACUGAGGUACGGCCCAGACUGCAAUGGUGGGCAGCGGUGGGAAAUAUGGCACAAUGGGCGGGAGCCUGAUGCAGCAGCGCCGCGUGCGGAAUGACGGCCUUCGGGUUGUGAACCGCUGUCGCCUGUGACGAAGCGGGAGUGACGGUAAUGGGUGAAGAAGCACCGGCUAACUACGUG
rnacentral:rRNA from 1 species